rnacentral:rRNA from 1 species
CCUACGGGGGGCAGCAGUGGGGAAUAUUGCACAAUGGGGGAAACCCUGACGCAGCAACGCCGCGUGCGGGAUGAAGGCUUUCGGGUUGUAAACCGCUUUCAGCAGGGAAGAUAAUGACGGUACCUGCAGAAGAAGCCCCGGCUAACUCCGUGCCAGCAGCCGCGGUAAUACGGAGGAUGCGAGCGUUAUCCGGAUUUAUUGGGUUUAAAGGGUGCGCAGGCGGUCUGUUAAGUCAGCGGUCAAAGCCCGGGGCUCAACCCCGGCCCGCCGUUGAAACUGGCAGUCUCGAGUUGGAGAGAAGUAUG